rnacentral:misc_RNA from 1 species
GGCGAGUGGUGAGAAUAUGGGGAGAAAGAGACUGACAAACAAUUUGCUACGUAACACAAAUAAAUCAAACGAUAGCUACUAUAUUUAUUUUAUAUUAUUAGUUUGUGAUUCUAUACAAUUAUCCUUUUAAAUUAACCAAUUUCGGAGCUUUAGACGAUUGCCGGAAAACCUUCAUCGGACUUCCCAAAUACCAUCCUUUCAACUUCUCCGUCGAACAAUUUACAUCAUUGCCGCCGGAUACUGACGUCAUCGCCACAUUCACCGAUCUCGAUCUCAUCACCGUCGUUAUCGCGAAUUCCUUAAUCCUCGUAUCAUUGCAGUAGUAUGCUUUCGAUUCCGAUUCGUUCUCUUUACCUCUCUUCCUUAACUUAAAAAUCCACCAGAACGGUGCCGUUUUGUUACUCUUCUCACUCUCUGUCUUCCUUCUCCGGUCACCGGAAUCAACAUUUCGUGAUUUUAGAAAGGGAAUUCCGAUGGAUUUUGAUCUACAUAACGCUGUCUCGCUGCUGUCGUUAUUGUCGCCGGUUUCGUUACUCUUCUCACUCUCCGUCGUCUUUCUGGAAUCAACAUUUCGCGAUUUUAGAAACGGAAUCCCGACGGAUUUCGAUCUACACAACUCCAUCUCUCUGCCGUCUCCGACUUUGCUACAUUUCUCAGUCUCCGACUGGUUCUUCCGGCUGCUAGAAUUAACAUUUCGCGAUUUUAAAAACGGAAUUCCUACAGAUUUUGAUCUACAGAAGACUGGUUCCUCGCCGGAGGAUGAAGACAACGACGUCGUAGAUGCGGCGCAGCUAGAAGAGCAAGGGCGCACUUUAGCACAGAUAGGGCAAAGUUCGGAAAGUCGAUCCCGGAGACAAAUUGAACAAACUCCGGUAGUAGUUCGCCGUUUCUUCAAAGGGUGUUUUGGACAUUUCCAUGCUUCUUCUUCAUUAUAGUACACCAUUU